rnacentral:rRNA from 1 species
UACAGAGGGGGCAAGCGUUAUUCGGAAUUAUUGGGCGUAAAGGGCUCGUAGGCGGCCAACUAAGUCACACGUGAAAUCCCCAGGCUUAACCUGGGAACUGCGUGUGAUACUGGAUGGCUUGAAUCCGGGAGAGGGAUGCAGAAUUCCAGGUGUAGCGGUGAAAUGCGUAGAUAUCUGGAGGAAUACCGGUGGCGAAGGCGGCAUCCUGGACCGGCAUUGACGCUGAUGAGCGAAAGCUAGGGGAGCAAACGGG